UACGUAGGGGGCAAGCGUUGUCCGGAAUCAUUGGGCGUAAAGAGCGUGUAGGCGGCCUGACAGGUCUGCUGUGAAAACUCGAGGCUCAACCUCGAGAUGUCGGCGGAAACCGUCUGGCUAGAGUCCGGAAGAGGAGAAUGGAAUUCCCGGUGUAGCGGUGAAAUGCGCAGAUAUCGGGAAGAACACCCGUGGCGAAGGCGGUUCUCUGGGACGGUACUGACGCUGAGACGCGAAAGCGUGGGGAGCGAACAGG
rnacentral:rRNA from 1 species